rnacentral:lncRNA from 10 species
AUGGAAUAACCGAGGUAUGAAUGAACAGUUUUGAGCACUAAAACACACUAAGGGCUUUGUUAUGGACUGAAAUGUGUCCUCUCCCCAGAGUCACAGGAUUAUGAAGCCAUAAUCCUCAAUGUGACUAUAUUUGGAGCAGGGGCCUUUACAGACAUAAUUAAAUUAAAUGAGGUCAUAAGAGUGGGGCCCUAGUCUGAUAGGACUGGUGUCCUUACAAGAAGAGGGAGAGUCCUCAGAGAGUCCUCUCUCUCGGCAUGGACACAAAAGAAAAGCCAUGUGAGGACACAGAGAGAAGGUGGCUGUCUACGAGCUAGGAAGAAAGGCCUCACCGGAAACCAACCCUCACAGCAGCUCCAUCUUGGACUUCCAGCCUCCGGAACUGUGAGAAAAUAAAUGUUUGCAAUUCAGGUCGGUUGUAUUUUGUGAAGGCCAUCCUAGCAAAUGAAUACUCCUAACAUUGUCUCUUUAAGAGCUCACCAGCCUGAGGUUUUCCACCACAUCCACUCACCUCUACAUGGCGAAAACCAAGGGUUCACUCUCUGUCUUCAGGGAGCUCCACCCAGCAGCAGCGUUUGACAGAGCUGUUCACUUCCUCUUCCUGGAGCUGUGGCUUCCAGAGCCCAUGCUCAGCAGUUCCCCUCCUUCUUCGACUGCUCCUCUCUUAGGCUCAAAACCUGUAACAAUGCAUGGCACACGGAAGAUGUGAGAAUUUGCUGAAUAACUGAAUGGCACCAUGUUGCCUCACCUAAGGAUAAUGACUAAGAAUAGGAAAAAUUUACUGUGCAAAGAUCAGUUCUUAAUAGCUGUCUACAUCUCAGAACAAAAAAAAUUAGAUGUAAACCAUUGCACAAAGGAUUAGAUGAAAUUUUUUUGAAAAAUCAGACAUUGGAGGCUCAGAGCCACUCAGACAUUGGGAAGCAAGUUUGUCAAGAUGACAGAGAACCGAGGUAAUGGAUUCGAGUGAUGAAACAGGAAGUUCAUUCAUGAGUUUUUGGCCACACCUCCAAAGUGACGACUUAGCCAGAAAUGGGAUAACUGGGUUUCCCUACUUCUCUUUUAUCAUCCUCAAUGAGAGUGACCAAAUAUUAGAGCUAGAUGGAACCUUAGUGAAAAUCUGGCUACUCGUCCCGUCCCACCAGCCUGCCACCCAUUUCAAGUUUGAAGAGACAAAGACACAUGGACCUUAUGUAAUUACUGGGGAUUACCCCAGGAGUCUGUGGCAAAAGUCAGCUUCUUCCCUCCCUGCUUCCCCGCCCUGUCUCUGGUACUUUCUACCAACACUGGGCUGUUUCUGUGAUCACACUUAAGCGUACCUAACCUGCGAAUGCUGUAUAGAAGGUGCUAAUGAACAUGAUUUAGCUUUAACACUCAGUUUUCUAAAGGGACACGUGGGGGCAGCAAAUGUUUAGGCAAAAACAAUUCCAGUUCUAGCCUCUACUGUCUACAUAUGUGUAUACAUUUGGGAAACGUUUGGGAAAGGGAUAUUUGAGAGCUUCUUUUUCUUUUUUGUGGUUUAGUUAUUUGAUGAUAUUGAGAUUGUUUCUGAGCCAUGUGCUUCAACAUCGGAUUGGGGAUUUCAGAAAAAGUUUUAGUCACUGUGAUUCCAUUUAGCUUCCAAAUGUGUCUCUGCUAAGAGACUUAAAAGCACUCAUAAAUAGCACGUGUGUCUUCUUUGCAGUGUUUGCUAAUUUUGAGUCACAUCUUUUUAGAAAAUCAUGAGAUUUGGUGUCACAGAGACUGGAAUAAAUAUAGUCAAACUUAUUGGUGAAGAUUUCCUUUAGCUGUUUUCAUAAUCCAUUUCCAUUGUUAUGAUUAUUGAUGAAUAAAACAUUUUCUUUAGGUAGAUACUUCUUUUUUCCCCCCACCUUGAUUUAAUGUUUCCACUCUUAUUGUCAAGUUUCUUAUUACUCCCUAAUAACUCUCAAUAAAAUAAUGAUUCCUGGGAGAUUAUUCCUGCUUUCCUACUAUCACCUGUUGAUUUGAAAAGACAGAACAAUACCGUAGAAGCUUCACUAAUACAUUGAAAGAUAAAAUGAUAAUACUAAAUACUAAAAUAUGAAAAGUGAUACUAAAAGUGGAGUCCUGGCACUAGUAUUUUUUUUUUUGAGUCUUUAAAUUUUAUUUAUUUAUUUUUGAAUUUUUUAAAAUUAUAUGUUAUGUUCUGGGAUACAUGUGCAGAACGUGCAGGUUUGUUACAUAGGUAUACAGGUCUGGCACUAGUAUUUUGUUGCCACAAAAUAUCAAGCAUGUAUCCAAACUGCUCAAGACACAUUAAAGACACAGGUAAUCUGUAGGCAUAUUCAGGCUUGUAGUUUGCAUUUUUUGGUUUUCUUGUGGCUUUCAGUGCAAGUUGAGGUAAUUCAUGGGAAACAGUCACCAAAGAAGUGCCAGUAUUAGAAAUCCAAGAGCCAUUUCUCUAGCUUCUUCCAGAAUCAAGACUUUAGAGGUAAUUUCUAUCAACACUGGACAUUUCCUGUCUGCAAUUAACAAUGAACACAUAGCAUUAUGUUUAAUUGCAACCUGUUUAAAGCAGAUUGGAUGCUAAGGUUUAAGAACACUCUUCAGUCAAAAAGGUCUUUUAAUCAGGUUUUUAAUCUUGAGCACAAUCUAGGACACAGCAUCAUAGACUAACUCAUUCGAGAAUAGGUGUUGUCAUCUAAUCCUAACCACCCCCACCACCAACAAGCUGAAUAGCUCUGGGCUCAGUAUAUACAUUUGUACUGGGCUCAGUACACACACCUAAGCUGGGUUCAGUAUAUGCCACUUUAUAGUGAGAGGCAUUUUGUAAUGAGAGCUCUGGGUUCACUAUAUACAUUUGUACUGGGCUCAGUACACACAUCUAAGCUGGGUUCAGUAUAUGCCACUUUAUAGUGAGGGCCAUUUUGUAAUGAGAGCUCUAAGGCUCUAAAAUUCUGUGUUUCUGCUAGUUUCUUCCUCAAGAUAAAACUGUGGAACUCAUAGUGAAUUCCCUCUCUUUGGGCAGUUUGAGCCAGGCCGCUAUUUAAUCACAACAUCACAAGUCAGAUUUUUCCUACCUAGUGUUGGCAGUGGAACACACCAGAACUGCUAAGGCCAAGGAAAUCCCAUUUUUUGAAGAGGCUUUCCUUUGUUAGCUUCUCUUUCUAGUAGUAAAGGUAAAAGAAAAAUAGAUGUUAAAGAUAUAAAUAUCUUAGGGGGUUUUUAUUGGUAUAAAUAUUUGUACACAAAAAGAAUAUGUAAUGUAAACUGGAUAUGUAUUUUUUACAUUUUACUUAACCUGAAUUUUACACAAUCUUUGCUUGAAUGCUCC